rnacentral:rRNA from 1 species
CCUACGGGAGGCAGCAGUGAGGAAUAUUGGUCAAUGGUAGAGAUCCUGAACCAGCCAAGCCGCGUGCGGGAAGACGGCCCUAUGGGUUGUAAACCUCUUUUGUCGGAGGACAAAACCCGGGACGUGUCCCGUUCUGCGUGUAUCCCAAGAAUAAGCAUCGGCUAACUCCGUGCCAGCAGCCGCGGUAAUACGGAGGAUGCGGGCGUUAUCCGGAUUUAUUGGGUUUAAAGGGUGCGCAGGCGGAAGGUAAAGGCUGCGGUAAAAUUGGGAGGCUCAACCUGGUCGAGCCGUUGAAACUGGUUGGCUUGAGUGAGUGAGACGUAUGCGGAAUGCGUGGUGUAGCGGUGAAAUGCAUAGAUAUCACGCAGAACUCCGAUUGCGAAGGCAGCAUACCGGAGCGCAACUGACGCUGAUGCACGAAGGUGUGGGUAUCGAACAGGAUUAGAUACCCGUGUAGUC